rnacentral:RNase_P_RNA from 1 species
GGAGCGAGCCGUGCUGCCGCGGCGCGAUCGUAAGAAAGCGUCGAGGAAAGUCCGGGCUCAUGAGGGCGCGAUGCCGGAUAACAUCCGGGACGCACCGGGAACCGGUCAGUAGGCCAAGGUCCGGUGUGUACAGAGAGUGCCACAGAAAAUAUACCGCCAGUGAUGGCAAGGGUGAAAAGGUGGGGUAAGAGCCCACCGCGUGUCCAGAAAUGGGCAUGGCAUGGCAAACCUCAUCGUGAGCAAGGCUGAACAGCGGUGAAUGGCCCGUUCUGUUCCGUUCAAAACGGAAUAAAACCGCGGGUAGGUCGCUCGACAUCGGAUGGCAACGUCCGAUGCAGAGGGAUGGCAGCGGCACGGGAUUUCCCGUGUACAAAACCCGGCUUACAGGCUCGCUCUUUUU